rnacentral:rRNA from 1 species
AUGGCCAGGGGACAACACAGCAACUUCUUUGUGCAGCGCGUCCUCAGCCACGGUGACGGUGAGUUCAGGCGCGAUAUCGUGGUGGAGCUCAUGAAGGAGGUCGCUAGCCUUUCCCUCGACCAGAACGGGAGUUACGUCGUGCAGCACUGCUUCCUCAACUGGGUCGACCUGCUGCCCCGCGUGCUCACGGCUUGUACUGCGCUGGGCACAAGAGAUCUUGAAGAGCUGGUGCUGACGCCCCCUGGCAACAUCGUCCCCGCCAAGCUGCUCGACACAGGCUACGAUUACUGCCGGGAGUUGACGCGGGGUCUGGCGAACAAAAUUCACCUCGUCAUCAGCCCGAGUGUCCGGACAAACCCUCGGUCGAAGAGGGUGCUGAACUGCGUCGGGAGGGUGCGAUAUAUCUAG